rnacentral:rRNA from 1 species
UACGAAGGGGGCUAGCGUUGCUCGGAAUCACUGGGCGUAAAGCGCACGUAGGCGGCUUUUUAAGUCAGGGGUGAAAUCCUGGAGCUCAACUCCAGAACUGCCUUUGAUACUGAGAGCUUGAGUCCGGGAGAGGUGAGUGGAACUGCGAGUGUAGAGGUGAAAUUCGUAGAUAUUCGCAAGAACACCAGUGGCGAAGGCGGCUCACUGGCCCGGUACUGACGCUGAGGUGCGAAAGCGUGGGAGCAAACAGG